CGGAACGUACCAUUCAGUGGGGGAUAACGUAGCGAAAGUUACGCUAAUACCGCAUAUUCUGUGAGCAGGAAAGCAGGGGAUCGCAAGACCUUGCGCUGAUUGAGCGGCCGAUAUCAGAUUAGCUUGUUGGUGAGGUAAAAGCUCACCAAGGCGACGAUCUGUAGCGGGUCUGAGAGGAUGAUCCGCCACACUGGAACUGAGACACGGUCCAGACUCCUACGGGAGGCAGCAGUGGGGAAUUUUGGACAAUGGGGGCAACCCUGAUCCAGCCAUGCCGCGUGAGUGAAGAAGGCCUUCGGGUUGUAAAGCUCUUUCAGCCGGGAAGAAAACGCAUGGGUUAAUACCCUGUGUGGAUGACGGUACCGGAAUAAGAAGCACCGGCUAACUACGUGCCAGCAGCCGCGGUAAUACGUAGGGUGCGAGCGUUAAUCGGAAUUACUGGGCGUAAAGCGUGCGCAGGCGGUUUUGUAAGACAGGCGUGAAAUCCCCGGGCUUAACCUGGGAACUGCGUUUGUGACUGCAAAGCUAGAGUACGGCAGAGGGGGGUGGAAUUCCACGUGUAGCAGUGAAAUGCGUAGAGAUGUGGAGGAACACCAAUGGCGAAGGCAGCCCCCUGGGUCGAUACUGACGCUCAUGCACGAAAGCGUGGGUAGCAAACAGGAUUAGAUACCCUGGUAGUCCACGCCCUAAACGAUGUCAACUAGGUGUUGGGAGGGUAAAACCUUUUAGUACCGUAGCUAACGCGAGAAGUUGACCGCCUGGGGAGUACGGCCGCAAGGUUAAAACUCAAAGGAAUUGACGGGGACCCGCACAAGCGGUGGAUGAUGUGGAUUAAUUCGAUGCAACGCGAAAAACCUUACCUACCCUUGACAUGUCAGGAACUUGCCAGAGAUGGCUUGGUGCCCGAAAGGGAACCUGAACACAGGUGCUGCAUGGCUGUCGUCAGCUCGUGUCGUGAGAUGUUGGGUUAAGUCCCGCAACGAGCGCAACCCUUGUCGUUAAUUGCCAUCAUUUAGUUGGGCACUUUAACGAGACUGCCGGUGACAAACCGGAGGAAGGUGGGGAUGACGUCAAGUCCUCAUGGCCCUUAUGGGUAGGGCUUCACACGUCAUACAAUGGUCGGUACAAAGGGUCGCCAACCCGCGAGGGGGAGCCAAUCCCAGAAAGCCGAUCGUAGUCCGGAUUGCAGGCUGCAACUCGCCUGCAUGAAGUCGGAAUCGCUAGUAAUCGUGGAUCAGCAUGUCACGGUGAAUACGUUCCCGGGUCUUGUACACACCGCCCGUCACACCAUGGGAGCGGGUUCCGCCAGAAGUAGGUAGCCUAACCGCAAGGAGGGCGCUUACCACGGCGGGGUUCGUGACUGGGGUGAAGUCGGAACAAGGUA
rnacentral:rRNA from 1 species